rnacentral:rRNA from 1 species
GACGAACGCUGGCGGCGUGCUUAACACAUGCAAGUCGAACGGAAAGGCCCUGCUUUUGUGGGGUGCUCGAGUGGCGAACGGGUGAGUAACACGUGAGUAACCUGCCCUUGACUUUGGGAUAACUUCAGGAAACUGGGGCUAAUACCGGAUAGGAGCUCCUGCUGCAUGGUGGGGGUUGGAAAGUUUCGGCGGUUGGGGAUGGACUCGCGGCUUAUCAGCUUGUUGGUGGGGUAGUGGCUUACCAAGGCUUUGACGGGUAGCCGGCCUGAGAGGGUGACCGGCCACCUUGGGCCUGAGGUACGGCCCAGACUCCUACGGGAGGCAGCAGUGGGGAAUAUUGCACAAUGGGCGGAAGCCUGAUGCAGCAGCGCCGCGUGCGGAAUGACGGCCUUCGGGUUGUAAACCGCUUUCGCCUGUGACGAAGCGUGAGUGACGGUAAUGGGUAAAGAAGCACCGGCUAACUACGUG